rfam:Vibrio sp. J237 Contig_16, whole genome shotgun sequence.
UGCUUGGGGAGUUGGCACGGUAACUGCUUUAAGGAAUUCACAAUUUAAAUAAAGCGCGAUCUUCAACGAAGAAGACUGCACUUCCCGACAGAACGGGACUUGGACAAAGGCGUCCUCGCUAGGCAACUAGCGGGACGCC